rnacentral:lncRNA from 1 species
UAUAUAAUUUUUUUUUUUUUUGGUUUUUUAGCAUAGAUGUGUUGCUAAUCCUACGUGGGUGCAAAUAUUGAUGGUUGUGUCAGUAUAAGCAAGAACUAGUUAUUACGGGGAUAGGUAAAAGCAUAGAGAUAAGAAAAAUAGUGUUUGGAUGAAAAUUAGGUUGUUUCCGGAAAUAAGAAAAAUAGCGUUUGGAUAAAUAAUAUGGAAUAAGAAAAAUAGUCAAUAGUUAUAUAUAGAAAAUGAAGGUGUUGGUGGAGACAGUUAUAUCAGAUUAUUUCAAAUAUCCGAAAACUACUACUCUCGGAUAAAAAAUUUGCGUUUGGGUAUAAAGGGGAUAAGGGGUUAUCCCUCCCCUUAUCCCUGAUCCAAACGCUACCUAAAUAUACUAAAAAUUUUAUUUUUAUUUAAUUGUUUAUUAU